rnacentral:rRNA from 1 species
AAAAAGCGGAGGAAAAGAAACCAACAGGGAUUGCCUUAGUAACGGCGAGUGAGCGGCAAAAGCUCAAAUUUGAAAUCGGCCACCAGGUCGAGUUGUAAUUUGUAGAUUGUAUCUUGAGAGCGGAUUAAAGUCUGUUGGAACACAGCGCCUUAGAGGGUGACAGCCCCGUAAAAUCUAUUCUCAUUGUAAGAUACUUUCGAAGAGUCGAGUUGUUUGGGAAUGCAGCUCUAAGUGGGAGGUAAAUUCCUUCUAAAGCUAAAUAUUGACGAGAGACCGAUAGCGAACAAGUACUGUGAAGGAAAGAUGAAAAGCACUUUGAAAAGAGAGUGAAAAAGUACGUGAAAUUGUUAAAAGGGAAGGGUAUUGAAUCAGACUUGGUGCUGUUGUUCAACYGUGUUUUGGCACGGUGUACUCAGCAGUACUAGGCCAAGGUGGGGUGUUUGGGAGUGAAAAAGAAGUUGGAACGUAACUCUUCGGAGUGUUAUAGCCUACUUUCAUAGCUCCUCAGGCGCCUCAGGACUGCGCUUCGGCAAGGACCUUGGCAUAAUGAUUCUAUACCGCCCGU